rnacentral:lncRNA from 1 species
UUUCCUUAAAAGUGUUCUGUCUUUAUCGUCGGUUGAUUACCCUUAAUUAAGGGAAAAUUAUCCUAACUUAUGUAUAAUUGAUUCUGUGACUUCCUUAAUUGCAGAAGGGUUGAUUACAUUUACCUUAUUUUUCCUUGAUCUUAACUACUAUAUGUAUGCUCUCUCAUUAACACACACAGACACGAACACAGUAGUUCAAAACCCUCUCUCACACAAAAAAAAACAUUCUUCUGCUCUCUCUUUUUCUCGUUAUUUGCUAUUGUUCUAAGUCAGCCAGCUGCAAGCCAGGGAUGAUUGCUCUACUCUCUUGCCCCCUCACUUUGUGUUUACUUCUUUACUGGUACGUUCUGAUUUCAAUUCAAGUUUCAAAACAAUGUGUUUCUUUUACUGCUUCAUUUCAUCUUGUUUCUAGUAUGUUUUCACGUAUGGUUCUGUUGAUUCAACUUGUAAAUGAUAUGUUUACUUCAUCACUUUAUCAGCAUGCUUCUGAAUGUCUCCCCUCCCUUAGACUCAUCAUGUGCAUAAAAUUGUUAUUCCCCUUCCUAAUAUACCCCAAUGUGGCCCUUCUUUACUUGUGUUUGCUUUGAUUUCUAGCAUAAACCUCUCUGUGCAAAAAUACUUGGCUAUCCUCAAGUUACAUAAUUCUGUGUUCUCUAACUCCUCAGCAUAUUGCUGAUUCUAUACUUGAGCACUCUUGCAACUAUGUGUUUACUUAUGUAACCUAUGUGUCCCCAAACCCCAAUACCCCUGUUGGUGACUGCUGAACUAGCCUUGGUCCUAUGUUCCUUGAUUAUGUGUGAACCUGUUUUGGGUGUUGUGUUUGGACUAUUGCCUGUUACUCUACUCUCUUUCCAAAACUGUCCUAUUGAACAACUCCAUCUGUUGUUUUACAAAAAUAUUUCAAACAAGUCUUUUUUUAUUAACUGUUUUCCGGCUUAAAUCUCUUCAAAACUAUGUCAAGCACUGUCACUCUACUCUUAGACCACUAAGUUCUGCCCUUUUGUGUGAGUCUUGCCUUGGGACCCUUGAGCUCCCUCUGAACUUGGACAUACAAAAGCUGUCCUUUCCACACUGCACUUACUUUGUCUUGGCUAUGAAAUCUAGGUGUGAGAACUGUCCGGGAUCCCUUGAGGUCCUUGGGCAACUUGACACAUCCGGAUAUGAUAAAGGCUAUGGAACAAUAUUGGCAUUUGAGAUGAUUUAUUACAUAACUCAGAGAGGAAGUCCUAAUCAGGUGCUGAAAAUCUGGGCCUAUUUUCAGGCUCUCUAUAGUGUAACUUUUAUCUUUCUUUUCUACUUAUGUAAUUCAUUUUAGUAUUGGUUUGUAAUAAUCUAUUGUAAACAAGUAUUGGGGCUGGCNNNNNNNNNNNNNNNNNNAUUCAAAGCAUUUCAUGCAUUAGAUACCAUGUUCCCAGGUUUACUGUUUCAACAUCUCAUUUGGAAUCACUUUACCACUUAGAAAUCCUGCUUUAGGCUAAAUAACAGCAUUAACAUAAAACUGUUGCUCCUGCACGUCUUGAAGUCAUGUUGUAACUCUUUGGGCAUUUAGAAAUCAUGCUUUAGGAAUUCUGCAAUCAUUCUGCAUUUUUUCAUAUGUGCACGUUUGAUACCCUGUUUUAGGAUCUCGUUCACACUCCCUCAGUCACACCUAGUUAAACUACUGAUGCAUGAAAACGGACAUAAAACAGUCUCAAGUUUGAUUAUCCUGUUUAAGUGAAACUGGUCACAAUCCCUGCAUGUCUUUGCAACCUUUAGACCAACAUGUUUUAGGUAAAAUAACUUCCAAACUGUUUUUUAAUAAUUCUGGC